rnacentral:rRNA from 1 species
UACGUAGGGUGCAAGCGUUGUCCGGAAUUAUUGGGCGUAAAGAGCUCGUAGGCGGUCUGUCGCGUCUGCUGUGAAAACUCGGGGCUUAACCCCGGGCCUGCAGUGGGUACGGGCAGACUAGAGUGCGGUAGGGGAGACUGGAAUUCCUGGUGUGGCGGUGAAAUGCGCAGAUAUCAGGAGGAACACCGGUGGCGAAGGCGGGUCUCUGGGCCGUAACUGACGCUGAGGAGCGAAAGCAUGGGGAGCGAACAGG